rnacentral:rRNA from 1 species
AGAGUGCGUAAUAGCUCACUAGUCGAGAGGUCCUGCGCCGAAAAUGUCCGGGGCUAAAACACAACACCGAAGCUUAGGAAUUCUAAUGAAUUGGUAGAGGAGCAUUGAAGACGGAACGAAGCCAUACCGAAAGGAAUGGUGGACUGUCUUGAAGAGAGAAUGCCGGAAUGAGUAGCGAGAUUGAAGUGAGAAUCUUCAAGGCCGAAUAUCUAAGGUUUCCAGGGUAAAGCUGAUCUGCCCUGGGUAAGUCGGGGCCUAAGGCAAGGUCGAAAGACGUAGUCGAUGGAUAACAGGUUGAAAUUCCUGUACUGCAUCAAAUCAGAAAUGUGGGGACACAUGAGGGAAGCAUGAGCCGGAAAAGGAAAGUCCGGUACAAGCGCAGCAGAGGACAGAUAGGCAAAACCGUCUGUCAACUCGAGGGCGUGAUGUGGAGCGAACCAAAGUAGCGAAGCAUGUGGAGCUUGUGUCGAGAAAAGCCGCUAUAGUGUUUGAUGUACCCGUACCGUAAACCGACACAGGUGGAUGAGGAGAGAAUCCUAAGGCCGGCGGGAGAAGCAUUGUUAAGGAACUCGGCAAAAUGACCCCGUAACUUCGGGAGAAGGGGUGCUCCAGAGAUGGAGCCGCAGAGAACUGGCCCAAGCAACUGUUUAGCAAAAACACAGGUCUAUGCAAAACCGAAAGGUGAGGUAUAUGGGCUGACGCCUGCCCGGUGCUGGAAGGUUAAGAGGAGAGGUUAGCGCAAGCGAAGCUUUGAAUUUAAGCCCCAGUAAACGGCGGCCGUAACUAUAACGGUCCUAAGGUAGCGAAAUUCCUUGUCGGGUAAGUUCCGACCCGCACGAAAGGCGUAAUGAUUUGGGCACUGUCUCGACAAUGCACCCGGUGAAAUUGAAAUACCAGUGAAGAUGCUGGUUACCUGCGCCAGGACGGAAAGACCCCAUGGAGCUUUACUCUAGCUUGAUACUGGGGUUCGGUAUUGCAUGUACAGGAUAGGUGGGAGACUGAGAAGAUGUGUCGCCAGAUGCAUCAGAGUCGAUGUUGGGAUACCACCCCUGCAGUACUGGGCUUCUAACCUGCAGCCGUGACCCGGCUGGGGGACAAUGUCUGGUGGGGAGUUUGACUGGGGCGGUCGCCUCCGAAAGAGUAUCGGAGGCGCUCAAAGGUUCCCUCAGAAUGGUUGGAAACCAUUCGAAGAGUGCAAAGGCAGAAGGGAGCUUGACUGCGACACCGACGG